AUUCUAAAGUGCUAAAAAAUAUCAAAUUUGUACUUAUAAAGCAAUCAAAAAAAUUAUGUUUACUACAAGCAAAGGAGAAAUAAUAUGGCUCAAAUUCUCAUGUUUACUUAUGCUUUGAUCAUCUUUUUUUCUCUAUUUCUUGUUGGAACAAGUACAAGUGAAACUCCUUUUAGUGGAACUCCUCUCAAGACUAAACAUGAAUGCGAAAAGGACAAGGAUUGUCCAAUAAAGUUAUAUUAUCUUUUUGCUUGGUGUGUUCAGAAAUUAUGUGAAUACCAUUGAUUAAGUUUACAUCGCAUCGUGUAAUUUAUUUUCAUAAUAAAGUUUGUACUUUAAAUACUUUCAAAAAGGCUUAACUACAUAUUUGGUCCCUUACGUUUA